UACGGAGGGAGCUAGCGUUGUUCGGAAUCACUGGGCGUAAAGCGCACGUAGGCGGCUUCUUAAGUCAGGGGUGAAAUCCUGGAGCUCAACUCCAGAACUGCCUUUGAUACUGGGAGGCUCGAGUACGAAAGAGGAUCGCGGAAUUCCCGGUGUAGAGGUGAAAUUCGUAGAUAUCGGGAGGAACACCGGUGGCGAAGGCGGCGAUCUGGGUCGAUACUGACGCUGAGGUGCGAAAGCGUGGGGAGCAAACAGG
rnacentral:rRNA from 1 species